AAUGCAAACUACUGUUUUUCAGUCCUCCCCUGACCUGGAAGCCACCAAUCUGUGAGUUUGGUACUUCCCCAUCUAGAUAUAGACAGUAGUACCCCGGUCUGGUGCUGCCAGGCUUCCUUUGUAUAACCUGGUAGCGGAUUUAUAGCUGUUAACUCAUCCCCCAAAGCCUUUCUGCUGGUUACAGGUUGGAAGCCGCUCUCUGCACCCGAGCCAAGGCUGUAGGUGUUCAGAGAGAACCUAGAGGGAUGGAUUGUAAAAGAGUUUAUAUACUGCAACUUGGAGGGUCUUGUUUAUGUUUAGGAGCAAAACUAAAAUGAAAAUUGUGUCAAAUCCAAAUAGAUCCUCUCAGCAUCCCAACAGCUCUCAGGCUUUAGGGAAUCUGUAGCAGAUAAAUACUCUUAAUUUUUCUCUUACAAAGUUAUCUUCUCUGCUCCUUCUGAUACUUUCUGUUUACUUGAAACUGGGAAAAAGCAUCUUGUGUAUGUAAUUUCUAACUCUAGGUGGCUUCUGCAGUCAAUAUUUUUCAAUGUCUGCUGGACAAGAGGGACUGGACUUGGGGCUCCCUUGCUCUAGACAUGAAGGAAAUCCAGUUUGGGUGGGAGAGGAACAACAACUGCUGAGGACUCUGGGAGGAAGCUGGGAAGUCCAAGAUAAAGUCCAAGAUCAAGUUUCCAACAGAUUCAGUGUUUGUCUCUUCUGAAUUCAUGGGAAAGGUGCAGGAGAGGUACGUCUCCAGGAACCAGAAGCUCUGUCACUUAUUUAUAAUGUGUGGUUCCAUGUCCUUGUCACUCGGAGUCUUUCAGCUGAGCCACACAUUUACUUAAAGAGUGAGAAAAAGAGAGUAAGCACCACUAAGGAAAGUAGUUUGGACACAUAAAGGUAAGAAAAUUGGCACUUUUCAUCCUAAAACCUACUCAAACUAAUGCUAUAGACAGUGUAUAUUUAGUUAAACAGAAAAGCAUUGAUGGUGUCACCUCACAGCUGUCCCUACUGCCAUCACAGGAAGGGAGGCCCAGCCCAGAGGUAAAGGUCACUGGACUGACAUCUGUGGCUACACCCCAGGCCUUUUGGGUGGAGAAGGUCCCCCUCCACCUACACUGAGUCUAUUGGGGGCAAACCUUGGUUUUCCAGUCCCCUAGCAUUUCCCUGGGGAGGUAAAGAGCUACCUUGGAAGACAGGAGACAGUGGUGUCUUCCUGUGCAGACAGCAGGGCCUGAGGCCCAUCAGUGUUUGCUGUGGUCACCAGCGAUGGGUAAGACCUGCCUUUGCUGUCCUCUGGGAGCAAUUACUUUAUGUUUAUUGCAGACAUCCAUCACACCCAGGGAGGCUAUAUAAAUACAAUAUGUCACCUUUAACUGUUUGCUAAUUGAGCCGAUGCUGUGGGAUUUCCUGAUGAUCAGUUGACAUGAG
rnacentral:lncRNA from 1 species